rnacentral:lncRNA from 1 species
GAUGCCUGGGCUAGGAAAAGUUAAUAGUUCCCCAGGCAGUGGCCCGUUUAUCUCAGAGCCUGUUGUGGGGACAGCUGCUAACUGCCUGGUCUGACUGAGUGUUCCCUGAAGACAUGGGAACACAUAUAUACACAUUUACACCUACCCGUGGUUGGUGGGCACAGGUAUGGAAAGUGACCAAUGCGGGCAGGUAAAAGCUUAAACAAAAGUUUUACUGAGUAGUCUAGAAAACCCUACCACUCUUACCAUCCAAUAAUACUGGGAGAAAUUCCUUCCUGAUAACCCAGCCAAGGGGAGCCCAGGAUAGGGUAGACAUCUUUGAGAACUCUGGUGGCUUGCCACCAUCCUCCCCAAUUUUCCCUGUGACCCUUGACAUCCUCAGCUCACCGUGUACUUGGGCAAGCGUGACUUUGUGGAUCACUUGGACAAAGUGGAUCCUGUCGGUAAGUUUGCCUAGAAGGGGCUAGCACAAUCCUCCAAGAGGGGAGGUGGUGCCUGAGUUUGGGAAUGGCCCCCUUCAGAAAAUGAAUGCAUCUCCCUUUCCUAGAUGGUGUGGUGCUUGUGGAUCCUGACUACUUGAAGGACCGGAAAGUGUUUGUGACCCUCACCUGUGCCUUCCGCUAUGGCCGAGAAGACCUGGAUGUACUGGGCCUGUCUUUCCGCAAAGAUCUGUUCAUCGCCACCUACCAGGCCUUCCCCCCCAUGCCCAACCCACCUCGGCCCCCCACCCGCCUACAGGACCGACUGCUGAAGAAGUUGGG